CUUCAGUUCCGGCUCCUCCCAGCCACACACAUUAUCUGUUAGUCUUAACAGCCAGGGCUGUUUUGCCUUCCCAACCAAAGAGCUUCAUCUUCCGGAUCAUCGGUGAGAGACAGAAGUAGCCUGUUGGUUCCAUUCAUCAUCAAACUUCUCAGCAUUACGUGGUUGAAGGUGGAGUUGGUUCACCUGGCCAGAAACCUGCUCAGCUUGACCAACAGCCUCAGCUCAAAAAUAUCCUAGUGUCUUCGAUAUGCAACUUCAGUUAAAAUGCUGCUCCAGGAGGUCUUGGGAAAUGUUCGAAGGAUCUAGAGAACUCGCUGGAUGUUGGCAGGGCGGCAUCACAGGGACGCCAGAAGCUGAGAAAGCAGCAGUAGAAGCCGAAGCCGAAGCCGAAAGAGAAGCCGAGAAGCAGCAGAAAGAACUCCAGAGAGCUCAGAUAGAGUGAAGACUUGCCUGCCAGCCUCCCAGCCCCUCAGCCAGCACCCCUGCCUGCCAUAUGCCUGGUGAACCCCAAUAAAAAACCUGC